rnacentral:rRNA from 1 species
UACAGAGGAGCCAAGCGUUGUCCGGAAUCAUUGGGCGUAAAGCGCGCGUAGGCGGCCCGAUAAGUCCGCUGUGAAAGUCAACGGCUCAACUGUUGGAUGCCGGUGGAUACUGUCGGGCUAGAGUACGGAAGAGGCAAGUGGAAUUCCUGGUGUAGCGGUGGAAUGCGCAGAUAUCGGGAGGAACACCUGUGGCGAAAGCGGCUCACUGGACCACAACUGACGCUGAGGCGCGAAAGCUAGGGGAGCAAACAGG